AGGCUGUAGCCAAAUUAAAACAGAAGCUUACUGGCCGGUAGUUGCUCCCUUAAUCAACUUAUCUGCUUACCGAGCUCCUUACAUUU